GACGAACGCUGGCGGCGUGCUUAACACAUGCAAGUCGAACGGAAAGGCCCUGCUUUUGUGGGGUGCUCGAGUGGCGAACGGGUGAGUAACACGUGAGUAACCUGCCCUUGACUUUGGGAUAACUUCAGGAAACUGGGGCUAAUACCGGAUAGGAGCUCCUGCUGCAUGGUGGGGGUUGGAAAGUUUCGGCGGUAGGGGGUGGACGCGGGGCUUAUCAGCUUGUUGGGGGGGUAGUGGCUUACCAAGGCUUUGACGGGUAGCCGGCCUGAGAGGGUGACCGGCCACAUUGGGACUGAGAUACGGCCCAGACUCGUACGGGAGGCAGCAGUGGGGAAUAUUGCACAAUGGGGGGAAGCCUGAAGCAGCAACGCCGCGUGCGGGAUGACGGCCUUCGGGGUGUAAACCGCUUUAGCCUGUGACGAAGCGUGAGUGACGGUAAUGGGUAAAGAAGCACCGGCUAACUACGUG
rnacentral:rRNA from 1 species